rnacentral:rRNA from 1 species
UACGUAGGGGGCUAGCGUUGUCCGGAAUCAUUGGGCGUAAAGCGCGUGUAGGCGGUCCGGUAAGUCCGCUGUGAAAGUCGGGGGCUCAACCCUCGAAUGCCGGUGGAUACUGUCGGGCUAGAGUGCGGAAGAGGCGAGUGGAAUUCCUGGUGUAGCGGUGGGAUGCGCAGAUAUCAGGAGGAACACCAAUAGCGAAGGCAGCUCGCUGGGACGUUACUGACACUGAGGCGCGAAAGCGUGGGGAGCGAACAGG